GCCAAUCUCCCCUCUGCGAGGUCUUGUCCCAGGAGACAACCAGACCCGGGGACUCCUGGUUUGUGGAUUCGGCUUCCGUGGCCCUUCCCACCAGGUCCUGGUGCUUCCAGAGGAGACUGUGCCUGCAGAGGCUGAGCUGGAAAAUCCUAGCAGAGACACAGGGACCAAUGGGGACCCAGCCCGCAUCCCUCAUGCCACUGUUCUGAGAUCUCCUGGGGUGCUACUAGCAGGCGAUCCCCUUCAUUGCCUUCCAUGAAUCCCACCCCGUGGUGCCCUUCCCACCCUGCUGUCUGCCCCAGUCCAGUUGCUUCUUCCCCUUCACUCUGCCUGGCACGCCAUGCCUGCCUGGCUUCUGGUUGGAGCCUCCCGUUCUGUUGUGGUUUUGCUCUCGCCUGCCUCUCCAAACCUUGCCAAAAUGUGAAUAUUUGAUUUGUCAAAUUCUGCCCAGACCUCCAAAAGGAGCCUGAGCCAAACCUAGGGCUUUGCAACCCCUCCUCCCCCUAGUUACGGUGGGGCCGGGCUCUCUCUCUCUCCAGCAGGUCAUCUGCUCAUUUCAAAAUGUGCCUCUCCUUACUGGAAAUUUGUUUUAAAUUAGCCUCUGGCUGCCAGGGGCUCAAGGCUGUGCGAAGUCAAGGAUGGAGGGUGGGGCUGGGAAGGGGAGGUGGCACUGUGAGGAGUGGCCUGUGAUAUCUCUGGGCUUCCUGGAUCAGGGGGAGGGGGAAGGAGAGGAGAGGAGCAGGGAUGCUGAGAAAAGAACAGUACCAGAGAAGGACUAUCCCCAGCCUGCCUGUAGGGGGCGCCUGGCUCCAUGGCCCGAGGCCACACAAGCUUUGAGAAACUGGUGAGAACCUGGCUCUUCCAGUUCCCAGUGACUUUUAAGUUCCCAGUGAUGCCGGCCCUUAGCGGGUGUGGCUCCUCAACCUGGGGCUGCAUUUCACUACCCUUGGGAACCACAGUGUCCUUUCUGAUAUUUAAGAUAGCAGUGUGCCAGCCCUUUUAUAUUCAUUGUCUCGUAAUUAUUAUAACCUUAUCCUCUCUGACCGUACUUCCUGCUCUAGACAUGAAUCAUCGAGGCUCAGUUAGAGGUUUUGCCCGUGGUGAUAGUGGAGUAUGAACCCAACCUGCGAUUUCAACGGAUUUCUAUCUUUACGGCAGGCCCCAACAUGAAGAAAAAUAAGCUUUUAAAAACAGGGGAGUUACCCUACCCUGCCUCCCCAUUCAGCAGGUUGGCUGCCCGCUGAUGCUGGAAUGUAAAGGCAUCUAAAGCUUUGGAUUCCUCAAUUUAACAGUUGAAGGUUUAAGCGAAUAUUUUUUUAGGAGGGAAAGCCAUGAACCCCAUGCAUUCAUAUUAAAACAGUGUAUCUCACUGGUAUUAAUAUUGAUAGAGUAAGAGCGGAAACGACAAAGACGUACAAAGCAGAGAUCCCUGGGGCUUAAGAGCAGGCACCUUAGGGGACAAAAGGGGAAGGAUCCGGUGACAGACUUUACCUACUUGAAGAUUGGAGUCUGGACAGCUCUGCUUCACCUUCCUCUGGGAUCAGAAAAAUAGAUAUUAUAUUGGCAUGUGCUUUGCCGUUUAUGCUUUAGCUCACAAAGGCUAGCUUAGCAUGGGGGUGAGAUCCAUCCCCUUGGCAUGCAUUUUGAGAACUUGAAGGGAGACGCUUUGAGACCCCUCGCUCGGAGAUGCAGGAAAAUUUUCUCAUAGAAACAGAUUCCGCUUGCCAAAUAGAUUCCGCUUGCAAAAAACCUUCUAGUUCUCUUUCUCCUCUGAGUUAUUGAAACAAAUAGAUUUUACAUGUCUAGCUGGCUCGUGGACUGCAUCCUGUUAGAAGGUCAGAACAGAAAAAGAGGGGUGUUAGCCAUGUUCCUGGAAGAAUAAACUCGAAGACUCCUGGGGAAACUCUGGGUUCCACCUCUCAUCCGGGAUCCUGCAAACUUGUUUUUUCUCACUCUUGGUGUCACAUCCGUUCUAGGACUGAGCAGCUUGCUGUGGGUGCCUUGUGCGAGUGGAGACGUUAAUAUGAAUAUCAAGCAUUUUAUUUUUAGUUUUGGCAUUUUGUUGGGGGUUUUCCUUUUUUCCCCCUCCUUCCUUCCUUCCUCUCGCCCACCCUCCCUCCUUUCCUCCCUUCCUCCUGUAAUAAUUUCAGGAACAAACCCAGCUUUUUUAUGCUUCCUUCAUCCUACCUUACCUGGCGUAGAUAACAUGCAUUCCAAAUUGUAUUGAGAGUUUGCAGGGAGGCAACUAAGCAACAGGCCCAACAGCUGGGUCAUUUUCUAAGAAUUGAAGGACGUAGCUUCAGUUUCCAGGUCUGGCUUUGGUGAGAGCUGCUUUUUAACCCUUCUCAGCUUGUGAGCUGGGGGGCGAUGAAAGUUGCUGCUUGAUUCAUAACUUAGAAGUGAUUAAACUUGUAAAGUAUUUUGAGGUCUUUUCUUUCAUUCAUUUAUCCAAACAAACAGUUAUCAUUGAAUGAACAGUGACUUUGAUUUAAAAACACUCUACAGACAUAAAACACUAGCAGCUUGUAGAUAGCCUCUUUUAAAAAAAAUUCACUCUCCUAAAGAAUUUCAUUACCAAAUCCUCAUGAAUCUUGAACCUCAAGAAGAAUAAUCCUUGCCUUUGUUGGAGUUUUAAAUUUAGACUAAUCAGACAAUAGUGAAGCAUUCUGUUCAAAGCAUUCCUUUUAGAAUACCCAUUUAUUAUGCUCUGCUCUUAAGAAGAGAUGAAUUUGAUUAGCGUUGAACAUUCAGUCGAUAUUUUUGCAUAGCUAAUACCGGGGAGAAAUUUUCCAAAAGUUGUGCCUGCUGUUUAGUAUUAUUCUAUAGUCAGCUUUUAAUUAUCUGUACUGAAGGAAUCUAAUCAGUGAUAUGACUCCAAAAUCAUUUCCUUCGGCUUUGGGAGGCAUCGCAUGUAUGAUGCUCUUAUUUACCUUCCAUAAUGGUUUCACUGAGACCCGUGUUCAAAUUAUGCCCGAUUCUUUGCACACACAGCUCCUCCAAGGAAGGAAGGAGGGUAUGGUUCAGAAGUAUACUGGGGGUUAGGGGAGGGUCCACUGGAAUUUUCAAAUUUGUUACAGAUAAGACACAGUAUGAAUCAACCUGAUUAUUCAUCUGGAUUAUUAAAUAGACGCUAAUAGCCAAUAAUUCACUGCAGUUGUGUAAGGAAGCAAAUACAAGAAACCGCUUAAAAGAUUUUUCAUGCGUGUGUAUUACUGUUGCCCAGUUUUGCAUUUUGAGCCGCUGUGGGCUGGGUGUGUCAGAGUGGUGGUUCUCCCCCCCAGGGUGCUGGGGUGCAGAUGGGGAGGAAAAGGGAGGCAGGCUUGAGCAGCUGCCCGGCUGUCCAGCUCUCUAGCCCUGCUCCUAGAGGUGUGCGCCCCCAUCAACAGGACAGCCGUUCAGAGAGCAGGAAGGUGGCCACUUGGCCAAAAGUAUGAGAGAGGAAGAGCCUAGAGGAAUGCAUGGUCGGGUGGUCCAGCUUGCCAGAAUGGCGCCUUUGCAAAGUCUUACUGUAAAUGCUUAGCUUUUUUUCAUACUUUGUGCGUGACAGUGGCGAGCAUAACCCUUGAUGAAGAUUUGUCCUCACACGUUUUUGGUCUUGCGAAAGAGCUGCCCAUGGUGCCACUGUAGUAUCUGAUGCUUCCUCCACCUGGUGGGCGUGACUGCAUUUCCCAGAGGAGUUUAAAGGGAUGUGGGGAGGACUAAUUAGUCCCUCAUUAAGCACUUACAACGAAGUACGAUAAUUCUCCUGAAAAGAUAAUCUAGUCGCUGAAUAGAAAGCCAGACACAUUUUUAACGUGACAUCAGAAGACAGUCAUUUUCAAUAAAAAGCUUUUUGUAGUGGUGGAAAAUGAGUGUUUUAAUAGGAUCUUUACAGUGUUACAAAGGGAUCCUGUAAAAUGUGAUGAUUUCAGGAUUUUUUGCUGAUCUUGAAAGCUGUCUGAUAAUCUGGAAUUCCACCUGAAACAGGCACAUUUUUCAUCCCUUCCUGUUUGUGAACCUCCAGCACCAGAUACAAAAUAGCAGGAUUGUGUUUACCAAUCUCUUAGUAGAAAAUGAAUGGGAGUUGGAGUGCUCGCUUGACCAAGAAGGAAAGGCUGUUUCUUAACACUGCCUGGCUAGGCUCCAGCUCACUGGCCGAAAAAGAGAUGUUAUCACGGGUGUGAUUAAAGUAAGACCUGUUGGCUGUGCUUAAUUAAAUCAGUGUGAGAAUCUAAGAAGGAGCGUAAGACGAUACCGAUAGACAACAGAAAUUCUCAAAUAGGUGGGUUAAGGCACUAGUGACAUUUAUUUCUUGGUUUUACCUUUAAUUAACUCUGGUUGCUCAGAGACACCCACUGGAUAGGUGAUGGGUUCUCCUCCUUCCCUCACUGUCUGCAGCUCACACAUCUCCCUGCUUGUUGGGAUUAACCAGUAAGAAAGAGACCAGCAUGGAGAAAGGCUGCAAAAACAUGGUCAAGACAAUUUAAAAUUCAUAGAGUGGUUUCCACCAGUAAGAAAUGGCCGUGAGGGAGAAAGUUGAAACUGUUGACAGUAGUGGCCAAAGCUGACCAUGUUUCGCCAACUGUCACCCAGGUCCCUGUUGCUGUGGAUCAAAGGUUGACUAGGUCCUCUUCGGAUUAACUUCGGGGUCCACUGUGGUGUUGUCCUGCCACUGUUACCAUUAUGCCAGUACGGGGUUCUGUUUGUUAAGUUCUCUGCCACUCUUCGAGCCCUUAAUUUGCCAAAUCUACACCCAAAUCCAGCCAGGUCUGUAGAGACACGGGGAAAGAUGUAGAAGUGGAUGAUUUGGAUCUCAGAUUUGGAGCCAACCAAGGUUUCAGGAGUGCCCAGCUUUGACCUUGGUCUUAUGGAGAGGGAAGAAGACUUUUCCUCUAAGCCUAAGCCCGGCAAAACCUAAUUACAGAGAUUUUGUUUUUUAUUUUGCUCUUUUAAAAUGAAAACUCGUGUACCCAUUGUGGCUCAGUGGUUAACGAAUCCAACUGGGAACCAUGAGGUUGCGGGUUCGAUCCCUGGCCUUGCUCAGCGGGUUAAGGAUCCGGCGUUGCCAUGAGCUGUGAUGUAGGUUGCAGACGUGGCUUGGAUCCUGCGUUGCUGUGGCUCUGGUACAGGCUGGCGGCUAUGGCUCUGACUGGACCCCUAGCCUGGGAAUCUCCAUAUGCCGUGGGAGUGGCCCAAGAAAUGGCAAAAAAGACAAAAUAAAUAAAUAAAAUAAAAUAAAAUAAAAACUAAUAAGGCCUUUCUUCAUUUGUUUGUUAUCUCCCUCUCUCUCGUAAGAUUGAAGGAAAUGAAUUCUCUCAAUUUGCCAUAGUUUUGUGUAGUUUAAGUUUGUACGUGACUUCCUAUUCCAAGUGGGCAGUUGUGGUCCCUGGGAACCUUUGUAUUCUAGAACAUUCUUUGACACCUUUGGUAGCCACCUUGCUUAAGAAUUGAGUGAUUGGAAAAUAAAACCAUGUGGCGCCUUCAAAUCAUUUGUCUUCCAUCCAAUCUAAGUGAUUAGUUAAUGCUCCAUUUGCAGGUAGAAAAAUAAAUGUAUCUUAGUUAUCAUUUGUUAUAUUUAGUGAGGAACAAAGUUUAAACUCACUCAUGUGAAAGUUAGGUAUAAGAUGUUUAUUUGUAUAUUUUGAAUAUUCGUAACUUGGGCCUAUGAAGUAAAAACAUCAGCUUUAGAUCACAUAAAUCCCCUUGAUUUUAAAAUAACUUAAUAGUUUAAAAAAUGUUGGGGUGCACUGCUCGUAGGAGUGUAGAUCAGCAGAGCCAUUUUGGAAAACAAUUUAGCAGUAUUGUGUAAGAGUGAAUAUUCAUAAACCUUGUGACCCAACAAUUUAGCAGUAUUGUGUAAGAGUGAAUAUUCAUAAACCUUGUGACCUUCCUAGGCAGUGCCCCAGAGAAACUUGACUUAUGGGUAUUGUUUCUCCUGGAAACAGCUCUAUUUCUGGUAAAAAUAAAUGAAUAAAACUAAAACUAGAGACUAAAAGUUACAAAAAUCCAGUAGCAGAAGAACACUGAAAAAUUCACACAAGGGAAUAUUAUACAGCAACGAAAAAGAAUGGCCUACAGCUACUGGCAACAUAGUUAAAUCUUAGAAGCAACAGUGUGUUAAAAAAUUAGCCACAGAAGACUACAUACAAUGUGAUAGGAUUAUUUAUAAUGUUUAAAAUCACACAAAAUUAAGUGGUUUAUUUUUGGGAAUGAUGCGUGCAAAACAGGAUUGUGGUCACCCUGGAAGAGAGCUUAGGGAAGCAGCAAAUAGAUUGAUGCAUCAAUAUUGGUAAUGUCUUACAUAAGACUAUGGGUUUAUGGGUACUCUUUAUUGUUAGGUUUCAUGGAUUCUCUAUGUAUUAUGUGCAUUCUUUUGUAGGUGUCAAAUUUUGCAUGAUACAAAUACAUUUUUUUUGGAUUAAAUUUUUUUUUCAGCUUUGAAAUAUAAUUGAGGAGUUCCCGUUGUGGCUCAGCAGUUAAUGAACUCAGCUAGUAUCCAUGAUCCCUGGCCUCGCUCAGUGGGUUAAGGAUCCGGCAUUGCUGUGAGCUGUGGUAUAGGUCACAGACAUGGCUUAGAACCCUUGUCGCUGUGGCUGUGGCUGUGGCAAUUUAACCCCUAGCCUGGAACUUUCAUAUGCUGCAGGU
rnacentral:lncRNA from 1 species